rnacentral:rRNA from 1 species
CACGUAGGGCGCAAGCGUUGUCCGGAAUUAUUGGGCGUAAAGAGCUCGUAGGCGGACUGUCACGUCUGCUGUGAAAAGCUAGGGCUUAACCCUGGCCUUGCAGUGGAUACGGGCAGACUAGAGGUAGGUAGGGGAGAAUGGAAUUCCUGGUGUAGCGGUGAAAUGCGCAGAUAUCAGGAGGAACACCGGUGGCGAAGGCGGGUCUCUGGGCCGAAAUUGACGCUGAGGAGCGAAAGCGUGGGGAGCAAACAGG